CCUACGGGUGGCAGCAGUGGGGAAUAUUGGACAAUGGGCGAAAGCCUGAUCCAGCCAUGCCGCGUGUGUGAAGAAGGCCUUCGGGUUGUAAAGCACUUUCAGUGGGGAAGAAAGCCUUGGGGCUAAUACCCUCGAGGAAGGACAUCACCCACAGAAGAAGCACCGGCUAACUCCGUGCCAGCAGCCGCGGUAAUACGGAGGGUGCGAGCGUUAAUCGGAAUUACUGGGCGUAAAGCGCGCGUAGGUGGUCUGAUAAGCCGGUUGUGAAAGCCCCGGGCUCAACCUGGGAACGGCAUCCGGAACUGUCAGGCUAGAGUGCAGGAGAGGAAGGUAGAAUUCCCGGUGUAGCGGUGAAAUGCGUAGAGAUCGGGAGGAAUACCAGUGGCGAAGGCGGCCUUCUGGACUGACACUGACGCUGAGGUGCGAAAGCGUGGGUAGCAAACAGGAUUCGAUACCCUAGUAGUC
rnacentral:rRNA from 1 species